rnacentral:rRNA from 1 species
UUCUUUCCAUCUUAGUGGCGGACGGGUGAGUAACGUGUGGGCAACCUGCCCUGUACUGGGGAAUAAUCAUUGGAAACGAUGACUAAUACCGCAUGUGGUCCUCGGAAGGCAUCUUCUGAGGAAGAAAGGAUUUAUUCGGUACAGGAUGGGCCCGCAUCUGAUUAGCUAGUUGGUGAGAUAACAGCCCACCAAGGCGACGAUCAGUAGCCGACCUGAGAGGGUGAUCGGCCACAUUGGGACUGAGACACGGCCCAAACUCCUACGGGAGGCAGCAGUGGGGAAUAUUGCACAAUGGGCGAAAGCCUGAUGCAGCAACGCCGCGUGAAGGAUGAAGGGUUUCGGCUCGUAAACUUCUAUCAAUAGGGAAGAAACAAAUGACGGUACCUAAAUAAGAAGCCCCGGCUAACUACGUGCCAGCAGCCGCGGUAAUACGUAGGGGGCAAGCGUUAUCCGGAAUUACUGGGUGUAAAGGGAGCGUAGGCGGCAUGGUAAGCCAGAUGUGAAAGCCUUGGGCUUAACCCGAGGAUUGCAUUUGGAACUAUCAAGCUAGAGUACAGGAGAGGAAAGCGGAAUUCCUAGUGUAGCGGUGAAAUGCGUAGAUAUUAGGAAGAACACCAGUGGCGAAGGCGGCUUUCUGGACUGAAACUGACGCUGAGGCUCGAAAGCGUGGGGAGCAAACAGG